GGUGUGUCAACGUCUGGUUCUACCACUACCGGCUGUGGGGCUCUGGGCAAGAUGGGAAGAUCACACCAGAUGGCCCAGGGGAGGCCCCAGGAGAGGCCCUGCUCACAGCGAGCACACACUCCAUGGCAGUUGCUGUGACUAGGAUGAUGGGAUGUUGUUUUGUUGGUAGGACUGGGCCCAUCCAGUGAGGGUCUCAAAGCUGGGCGGGGAGAGCUGGCGUGCCACUUGGGGAGCAAGGAGCUCUGUCCCUCAGCUGGGGCUGGACGUCUACCUCUCUGACACUGCAGGUGUGUGCGCCCCCUCCCUCCUGGGGAUAUCAUGAGGAUGAAGCGGAAGCACGCAUUGUAUGUGUGCAUGUGCAGGGGGCAGGGUGAAGAAAUCUUAAAAUUUUAAACUGCUCAGGUGUCUGGGAAGUAAAGAAAAGAAGGAAGGAAUGAAGCCCUCCUUUUGCGAUGUCUUGGGGUCACAGAGACCCUUUUCUGGGAAGAUUUUUCAUUUCCCCAUCUUUUUUUGUUUGCUUAUUUGAGACAGAAUCUCGCUCUGUAGCCCAGGCUGGAGUGCAGUGGCACGAGCUCAGCUCAUUGCAACCUCCACCUCCCAGGUUCAAGCAAUUCUCCUGCCUCAGACUCCCAAGUAGCUGGGAUUACAGGUGUGAGCCACUAUGCCUGGCUAAUUUUUGUAUUUUUAGUAGAGACAGGGUUUCGCCAUGUUGGCCAGACUGGUCUCAAGCUCCUGACCUCAGGUGAUCCACCUGCCUCCCAAAGUGCUGGGAUUACAGGCGUGAGCCGCAGCGCCCGGACUCUGCACCUAUUUUCUACUCUGCCUAGGGACAGCCCAAUGCAUUCUGCAGCAGGGAGCCACGGCAAAUUGGUAACAAGCUGGCCCCUGGCCUUCAUCUCACCGCUCCCCAUUCUCAGACCUGCCCUGUCAGCUGACAGUCCUUUGAGCCAGUCUCACCUCACAGCUUGGAAUUGGCAGUGAUCAUCCCAGGCUCUGAGAAGGGCUGGCCCCUGCUAGCCUCGCAGGAAGGACCCUGCUGGCUGUGUAAAGUGUGCGUGAUGCUCAUUGGCCCCUCCGGGCCCCCUCCUUCCACCUCUUUUGCUGCCCUUCUGAGGGGUGAGCGGGCUGAGCAAGGCAUGAGCCCCCAGCCCGUCCUAGUCCUUCCUGCAUGGCUGUUUCCUGAGUGCUGCCCACUCAGCAUGCACUACCCACCCUAGGCCAGGAUGAUGCUGGGCACACCAGGGCAGCAGGGAGAGAACCCAUCCUUGUCUUUGUGAAGGGGGAAUCGUCAUAAGCAGGGAAUGAUCGCAACAUAUGAGAGACUGUGGCAUGGACUGCACCUGUCGCCUCUCGGCCUCACCUUUCUGGAGCCCCCGUUGGUCCUCAGGUCUAUGCAGACUGCGCCCCUCCCUCCCCUCCACCAGGCAGCCAGGCAGCCCCUCGCUUCUUCUUCGUCCACCCCAGGGCCUCUUGGACCUCACCUGCAGGACGUGCUCUGCAGUUUCCUGCACACCUGCAAGUGUGUGGGGGCCCAUGCCUGUGAGCCAUCCUUGAGCAAAGGCAUAAAGACCCAAGGACAAGGCCCUCCAGGCCCCUGCAAGUGGGAGGUUCAUGAGCCUCCUUGGAAGGUCCUGAAGGACAGAGCUCCAGCCACCCCAGCAGUAGCCAGCUCCGUGACCCCCGUUCCCUUCCACUCCUGUUUCACUCCCUAUCCCUCAGGGGAAUGCAGCUAAAGCAGCGGUGUCUGGGGGGCACCCAGCAGGGCCGUGACUCAGGCUGGGGAUCAGGGAGGGCCUCCCUGCAUAGGUGAGAUUUAAGCCAAGCUCUGAAGCAGGAAUGGGAGUUGUCCGGGCAAAGAGGCAUCCUGGGUGAGGAAAGCAGCCCGUGCCAAGGCCUCGAGGUCAGUCUCAGACAUUCCCGACACUUGUGCUUCAUGGCCCUUUCUCAGCCCUGGCUGGCAUCUUGCGAUGUAGUGGGGAGAGAAGCCAGGAGGAGAGCAGCUCAGCCCACGAGGAGGUGCCCAUGGAGGCCCAGGGGCCCCCAUGCACCCUCCCCAGUUUUAAGACCCUAGACCAGUCUCUCACUCUCCAGAGUCUUGGUUUCUCCACCUGUGAAAGAACCAUUUUUCCUUCCUGCCAGGAGCUGAAGUCAAAGGCACAGCAUUAUUGGGACACACUGGGGAGUGGUGGGCCCAGCACUGGGACCCAUGCUGGGUGUCCCAAGAGCACGGAAUGUUGGCAGGGAGGGGCGGAGGCCAGGCACGGAGCUCCCUGCUGCUCUGCGGCUGCCCCACCUGCAGCCCUUCCCUUCACCCCACCCCCCAGUUUGCUCUGCUCUUGGGUGGCCAGUCACCCAGGAGUGGUAUCCAGGGAGGCUCUUGCAGGCCCAGCUUCACUGGCCUGGAAGGGCUAAGCUGCCUGGCCCAGGGGUGUGUCCACUUCAUCCUGGGCAGGAUAUGGGCAUCUCGCAGGUGGAAUUCCAUGGCGGGGCUGGAGCCAGGGGGUAACUCGGCAGGACAGAGGCCCAGCCACCAGGAAGCUCGCCUGCUGAUGGCCAAGCUCAGGACACCUUGCACCCCUGUACCUGAGGACAGGCUGCGACUGAUGAGAGUGGCUUCAUCCUCAGAGGGGAAGUGUCCUGGAAGGAUGUGGCUGGAGGCACCCAGCCCUGCGGGAGCCCCUUUAAAUGAGGGGAUGCCUCGGGAAGCAGGGUGAGGGGGGCAGAAACCGGGAACUCUGGAUUUCAAGACUUGGAAGAAAAGUGCUGCAUUGUGCGGUGGCAUCUGCUUGUGGGGACAAGUGCUUCCUGGUGAGACCUCUCCAUCCCCUCCCCGCCGCCCCCCCCCCACGUCUCACACUCUUUCUCUCCCUGUCCUCCUAUCUUGGCCUUGCACUCGGGUCGUGGGUCGUGUUUGGUCUGUGAUGUCAUCACUCCCCUCCCUGUGGCUGCCAUUCAGAGCUGGCAGUAAUGAAAAGCGCCGGAUUCCCGCUCACUGGGCCCCAGCAGCACUACAGAGACAUGGAGCCCUUUGCUGCAAAUAAUUAACUUGGUCCCAUGUUGCAUAACAUCCUAAAAAGCUUUCCGGGGGCGAGCACCCGCCAGACACUGUGAGCUCAUCAAUACUGCAUCGCAUCGGACACUACUGCUGUGUGGUUUCAUUAAAAAUUUAAUUUGUGGUUUAAA